GGUGAACGGCUGGCGGCGUGCCUAACACAUGCAAGUCGAGCGGUGCAGUUGAAGCUCGGUGGAAAGCUGCAUAGCGGCGGACGGGUGAGGAAAACGUAGGAACGUGCCCCUUGGAGUUGGAUAGCCACGGGAAACUGUGGGUAAACCGACAUAGACUCGAGAGAGUAAAGGCCGAAAGGCGCCAAGGGAGCGGCCUGCGGCCCAUCAGGUAGUUGGUAGUGUAAAGGACUACCAAGCCGACGACGGGUAGCCGGUCUGAGAGGAUGGCCGGCCACAAGGGCACUGAGAGACGGGCCCUACUCCUACGGGAGGCAGCAGUGGGGGAUUUUGGACAAUGGGCGAAAGCCUGAUCCAGCGACGCCGCGUGGAGGACGAAGCCCUUCGGGGUGUAAACUCCUUUUCUCAGGGAAAAAGGAUGAUGGUACCUGAGGAAUAAGCCCCGGCUAACUACGUG
rnacentral:rRNA from 1 species